rnacentral:rRNA from 1 species
CUUGGUCAUUUAGAGGAAGUAAAAGUCGUAACAAGGUUUCCGUAGGUGAACCUGCGGAAGGAUCAUUAAUGAAUUUAGGGGGUUUGCUGUGCCGUCUUCACGGAAUUGUGCACGCUUACCUCUAUAAUCCUUAUCAACACCUGUGCACCUUUCUAGGGAGAACGAUAGGUUUCACGACCUAUCAUGACCUCUAUAUACACACUCUUUAUGUCAAUGAAUGUUACUUGGCCGAAAGGCUAGAAUUAUAAACAACUUUUAACAACGGAUCUCUUGGCUCUCGCAUCGAUGAAGAACGCAGCGAAAUGCGAUAAGUAAUGUGAAUUGCAGAAUUCAGUGAAUCAUCGAAUCUUUGAACGCACCUUGCGCUCCCUGGUAUUCCGGGGAGCACGCCUGUUCGAGUGUUAUGAAACUAUCAAGAAAAAUUGGCUUUAUUGUUGAUUUUGAUUGGAUUUGAACUUUGACGUUGAUCUAGGUAGAGGGUUACUCCUCUGCUCUGUAAUACGACUAGUUUUAAAAGUAUAAGCAGGCUCUGGUUUUUUAAUUACCAUGGUUCUACUCAGCGUGAUAAUUAUCUAUCGUUGAGGACACUUUUAUUAGUGGCCAUGGUCCCAAGAGUUGCUCUCUAAUCUCUGUGAUCAGUUGCAAAACUGAUUUCAUUCAUAUCUGACCUCGAAUCAAGUGGGACUACCCGCUGAACUUAAGCAUAUCAAUAAGCGGAGGA